GAUGAAGAACGUAGCAAAAUGCGAUAAGUAAUGUGAAUUGCAGAAUUCAGUGAAUCAUCGAAUCUUUGAACGCACAUUGCGCCCGCUGGUAUUCCGGCGGGCAUGCCUGUUCGAGCGUCAUUUCAACCCUCAAGCCCCCGGGUUUGGUGUUGGGGAUCGGCUCUGCCCUUCUGGGCGGUGCCGCCCCCGAAAUACAUUGGCGGUCUCGCUGCAGCCUCCAUUGCGUAGUAGCUAACACCUCGCAACUGGAACGCGGCGCGGCUAUGCCGUAAAACCCCAACUUCUGAAUGUUGACCUCGGAUCAGGUAGGAAUACCCGCUGAACUUAAGCAUAUCAAUAAGCGGAGGA
rnacentral:misc_RNA from 1 species